rnacentral:lncRNA from 1 species
GCCGGCCCAUGGCGGCGGCGGCGGCGGCGGCGGCGAUGGCAGAGCAGGAGGGCGCCCGCAACGGCGCCCGCAACCGUGGUGGCGUCCAGCGCGUGGAGGGCAAGCUGCGUGCCAGCGUCGAAAAGGGCGACUACUACGAGGCGCACCAGAUGUACCGGACCCUCUUCUUCAGGUACAUGUCUCAGAGCAAACAUGCAGAGGCCCGAGAGCUCAUGUACUCAGGAGCACUGCUCUUCUUCAGUCAUGGCCAGAACAGUGCGGCUGACCUGUCCAUGCUGGUCCUCGAAUCCCUGGAAAAGGCUGAGGUGGACGUAGCUGAUGAGCUUUUGGAAAAUCUGGCUAAAGUGUUCAGUUUGAUGGAUCCAAAUUCUCCUGAGAGGGUGGCUUUUGUGUCCAGAGCCCUGAAGUGGUCCAGUGGAGGUUCUGGGAAACUGGGCCAUCCUCGGCUCCACCAGCUGCUGGCCCUCACGCUGUGGAAAGAGCAAAACUACUGUGAGUCCCGGUAUCACUUUCUGCACUCCACUGAUGGUGAGGGCUGUGCCAACAUGCUGGUCGAGUACUCUACUGCCCGAGGCUUCCGAAGUGAGGUGGACAUGUUUGUGGCUCAGGCUGUGCUACAGUUUCUCUGUUUGAAAAAUAAGAACAGUGCAUUAGUGGUCUUUACGACGUACACACAGAAGCACCCAUCCAUCGAGGAUGGGCCGCCCUUCGUCCAACCCCUGCUCAAUUUCAUCUGGUUUCUGCUGCUGG